rnacentral:rRNA from 1 species
GACGAACGCUGGCGGCGUGCUUAACACAUGCAAGUCGAACGGUAAGGCCCUUCGGGGUACACGAGUGGCGAACGGGUGAGUAACACGUGGGUGAUCUGCCCUGCACUUCGGGAUAAGCCUGGGAAACCGGGUCUAAUACCGGAUAGGACUCCGGACUGCAUGGUCUGGGGUGGAAAGCUUUUGCGGUGUGGGAUGGGCCCGCGGCCUAUCAGGUUGUUGGUGGGGUGAUGGCCUACCAAGGCGACGACGGGUAGCCGGCCUGAGAGGGUGACCGGCCACACUGGGACUGAGAUACGGCCCAGACUCCUACGGGAGGCAGCAGUGGGGAAUAUUGCACAAUGGGCGCAAGCCUGAUGCAGCGACGCCGCGUGAGGGAUGACGGCCUUCGGGUUGUAAACCUCUUUCAGCAUCGACGAAGCGAAAGUGACGGUAGGUGCAGAAGAAGGACCGGCCAACUACGUGCCAGCCGCCGCAGUAA